rnacentral:rRNA from 1 species
UACGGGGGGGGCAAGCGUUGUUCGGAAUUACUGGGCGUAAAGGGCUCGUAGGCGGCCAACUAAGUCAGACGUGAAAUCCCUCGGCUUAACCGGGGAACUGCGUCUGAUACUGGAUGGCUUGAGUUCGGGAGAGGGAUGCGGAAUUCCAGGUGUAGCGGUGAAAUGCGUAGAUAUCUGGAGGAACACCGGUGGCGAAGGCGGCAUCCUGGACCGAUACUGACGCUGAGGAGCGAAAGCGUGGGGAGCGAACAGG